rnacentral:rRNA from 1 species
AGCCAGACUCCUACGGGAGGCAGCAGUGGGGAAUAUUGCACAAUGGGGGAAACCCUGAUGCAGCGACGCCGCGUGAGUGAAGAAGUAUUUCGGUAUGUAAAGCUCUAUCAGCAGGGAAGAAGUUGACGGUACCUGAGUAAGAAGCCCCGGCUAACUACGUGCCAGCAGCCGCGGUAAUACGUAGGGGGCAAGCGUUAUCCGGAUUUACUGGGUGUAAAGGGAGCGUAGACGGCAGUGCAAGUCUGAAGUGAAAGCCCCGGGCUUAACCCGGGAAUUGCUUUGGAAACUGUACGGCUGGAGUGCUGGAGGGGUAAGCGGAAUUCCUAGUGUAGCGGUGAAAUGCGUAGAUAUUAGGAGGAACACCAGUGGCGAAGGCGGCUUACUGGACAGUAACUGACGUUGAGGCUCGAAAGCGUGGGGAGCAAACAGGAUUAGAUACCCGUGUAAC